rnacentral:lncRNA from 1 species
UCGAAGCUACCGGAGCAACGCUUCGUAAAGGACCUUUCCCGGACAAUCUACUCUACUGCUGAGCUCUGCGCUCGCAGCGUGACCGGAGAGCCGAGCCGGCGCUUUCUUAAAGAGGGCGCGAAAGGGAAGCUGCCGGUGACACCUGCAAAGAUGAUGGCCCUUGCAAGUGGCCUGAUGUACUAUGAGAGGGCAAAGAAGCCAGAGCCUGAACGUCGCCCGAUCCUGGAGCUCCAGACGGUAGUCCGCGACAUCCUAAAAGACUUCUUGCCUGAUGUUGCGAGGCAGGGCAGAAGGAGGGUCGCUCCGAAAGAAUAAAAUGGCAGUGAUUCCUUA